rnacentral:tRNA from 2 species
AAGAUACUAGUAAAACGAAUAUAACAUUGCCUUGUCAAGACAAAAUUGUAGGUUAAAAUCCUGCGUAUCUUA